rnacentral:rRNA from 1 species
UACGGAAGGGGCUAGCGUUGUUCGGAAUUACUGGGCGUAAAGCGCGCGCAGGCGGUCAGACAAGUGAGGCGUGAAAGCCCUGGGCUCAACCUGGGAAUUGCGCUUCAGACUGUCUGACUGGAGUUCGGGAGAGGGUGGUGGAAUUCCCAGUGUAGAGGUGAAAUUCGUAGAUAUUGGGAGGAACACCGGUGGCGAAGGCGGCCGCCUGGCCCGUAACUGACGCUACAGCGCGAAAGCGUGGGGAGCAAACAGG